rnacentral:lncRNA from 1 species
CUUUGCUUCUACUUCAGCUUCUUGUCUCUUUACAUGCAGCUUUUUAACUGUAUUUUUAGAUAGCUGAACAAUUCAAACAGUUUGCCUGGAGCCAGCGUUUAAACUUAGACCUAUAUUUUCAGGGAAAAAAAAGGUUUAAAGUCAGACUGCUUAUUUAGAAGUUUCACAAAGGUCAAUCUCCUCCUGAUAUUUUUACAUACCUUAGUUUUGUAGCUGCUUAUAUUCCCAGCAAAAAAUGUGCACUUCUUAGAGGAACAAGUUAUGGGCUUGAAAAGAAAAAAAGCACCCCAUACUGGGUGGGGUAACAGCAAAGAGAAGAAGCUGUCUUCAUCCCAUAUCCACAUAGCAGCUUGCAGGAGGUACACCCACCCUACCUCAGGAUUAGGCUUUAGCCAGCUUACUUCUUUAGGCUGCCUGGGUUUGUAUUUCUUCUGCAGCAGCAAUACAGCCAAUCCUGCCUGGCUCACCUCCAGUAACAAGCACACAGCUGAAAGCCUCAUUAUAGCACAUGGUGAUAUGCUGUACUUUUAUAUCAAGAGCUGAAAUAACAAACUCGGUUCAUGCAAGGGGCAGAGCUUUGGGCUCAUCUCCGCUUGAGAGGCCUGGUUAUUUAUUAAUUAUAUUUAAAGUUUUAUAGCAGCUUAAAAGGAAUGUGAGCCAGAGGCAGCACUUCCAGUCAGGUCUCCCUUGUGCAAUGCUUGUGUAAUUCUCUGGUUUUAGUGCUGGCUUGUGCAGCUGCAGAAGGCUCUGGUCUGUUUCCAUCUCUAAUGCCUCCACCAGUGCUGAUGAUUUCCUCAUCCUUCGACGUAAGAGUGCUCUGACACACAAAACCCCAGAAGCACCACCUUGUUGUGAAAUCCUGGGGCACGGGAGUCCAAUGGGCAGGCCAGUGCUGGGGGAGACCAUUAAAAAAAAAAUCUUACCUAAUCACUUUCUAAGGAAAAUUCGUCAGACUCCUGAAAUUCCCCUCACCAUAACAAAUGAGUCACCUGCAAGUUUGGUGGGCUGCAGGAUCCAAGUUUCUGAUUCGAAGCCGGCUAAAACUAGAAUUCAAGAGCAGUGUUAAAGGGUAGUAUAAGCGAAUGAGUUGCGGUUAGAUACGGAUUGAGGUAUGUAAGCUCACUGAGUUAGGAAGGGCCUUCAUAAACAUACCACACCUCAAGUACUGUGUUCAGUUUUGGGCCCCUCACUACAAGAAAGACACUGAGGCCCUGGGGCAUGUCCAGAAAAGGACAGCAAAGCUGUGAAGGGUCUGGAACACAAGUCUUUUGGGGAGUGGCCAAGGGAACUGCGAUUGUUCAGUCAUAGAAGAGGAGGCUCAGGGGAGACCUUAUAGCUCUGCUCAGCUCCCUGAAAGGAGGUUGUAGCAAGAUGGGUGUCAGCCUCAUCUCACAGGUAAUAGUGAUAGGAUGAGAAGUAAUGGCCUCAAGUUGUGCCAGGGGAGGUUCAGGUUGUUCAGAAAAUUUUUUUCUCAUAAAGAGUGGUGAGGCAUUGGAACAGGCUGCCCAGGAAGGUCGUGGAGUCACCAUCCCUGGAGGUUUUC